GAGAAGGUGCUUGAGCUAUUAGCUGGUUCAUCCAGCUCACUCACUCUGAGGGGGCCAGGAAGCAAUGAUUUCCAUUUGUAAGAGAGGAUCAUGGAAUGAAUACGGGCAUUGAGUCAAGCAGUCUGUGUUCCACUGGCGGUGUGACCUGGGGCAGGCCAUUUCACCUCACUGAGCCUUAGUUUCCUCACCUGUAAAAUGUGAAAAAUAUCACCUUCCUUACCAGGCUUUUCUGAGGAUUUAAUGACAUCAUGUUCAGUGCCCAGUAUGGGUGGAUAAUACCCAGGAGUUUCCUCCUCUUCUCCUCCUAAGUUGACUUGAUGCCCCCCGCUGAAGAUCAUGGCUGAACUGGCUCAAUUCGGAUCCAGGACUCCUGGCUUUGUCUCUUCCCUAGUUGCCCACCACACCCAUGGACACCCUUAGGUAGUUUAUCCUUUUGGGACAACUGGAUUUAUUAGAAAAGGGUAUUCUGGGGUGGAAUAAGGCCCUUUUCAGUCCCCAUGGAGCCUUUUUGGAAGAUGAAGUUCUCAAACCCACAAGAGAAUUCAUAAGACGAGCACACCACCCACAGUUAGGUUUCCCUCUCAAGUGCUUUAUCUCCACGUGGGGCAAAUAGCUCUUUGUCUGCAUAUGUUAUUGGAGCUUUUGGAGUCCAGCCUUCAGAAGAGCUCUAAUUUUUGGAUUCAUAUCAGUUUAUUAGAGAAGCCUAGUUCUAAGGAUUAGCAAAUGGGUAGGUGCUCAGCCAGCCCAGAACAAGCAGAGCCAUGACAGAAGUUUCUGGAAUCUCACAGAGUCGGUGUCUUCAUGGACUCAGGGGGCCUAAAUCCAAUAGCCUGGAUUUGUCACUUUCCCUUAUUCCCUUAUCAAACUCUUCCCUUUUGGACAUCAGAGAAGGAAAGUACUUCCUGUAAGGGGGCAAUUUGCAAAGCUUCAUGGAAGUGGCAUUUGAGUGUGGCCUUAAAGGAUGUGUAGGAUUGGGAACCAUAGAUAUUUAGAGGAAGGCAUUCCUGGCAGAAGGAACAGCAGCAAAACACAGAAGUGGAAAUUAGUAGCAGCAUUAAUGGAGAAUAAUUUGGGGAAUAAGAUAUACAAAUGGAAUAAUAAAAAUAGCAUUAAUUAAA
rnacentral:lncRNA from 1 species